CCUACGGGCGGCAGCAGUGGGGAAUAUUGGACAAUGGGCGAAAGCCUGAUCCAGCCAUGCCGCGUGUGUGAAGAAGGCCUUCGGGUUGUAAAGCACUUUCAGUGGGGAAGAAAGCCUUGGGGCUAAUACCCUCGAGGAAGGACAUCACCCACAGAAGAAGGACCGGCUAACUCCGUGCCAGCAGCCGCGGUAAUACGGAGGGUGCGAGCGUUAAUCGGAAUUACUGGGCGUAAAGCGCGCGUAGGCGGUCUGAUAAGCCGGUUGUGAAAGCCCCGGGCUCAACCUGGGAACGGCAUCCGGAACUGUCAGGCUUGAGUGCAGGAGAGGAAGGUAGAAUUCCCGGUGUAGCGGUGAAAUGCGUAGAGAUCGGGAGGAAUACCAGUGGCGAAGGCGGCCUUCUGGACUGACACUGACGCUGAGGUGCGAAAGCGUGGGUAGCAAACAGGAUUAGAUACCCUAGUAGUC
rnacentral:rRNA from 1 species